rnacentral:rRNA from 1 species
UAGGGAAUCUUCCACAAUGGACGAAAGUCUGACCGAGCAACGCCGCGUGAGUGAAGAAGGUUUUCGGAUCGUAAAACUCUGUUGGUAGAGAAGAACGUUGGUGAGAGUGGAAAGCUCAUCAAGUGACGGUAACUACCCAGAAAGGGACGGCUAACUACGUGCCAG